AACUUCCUGUCCCCGCCCGGAGCUCACCACAGCUUCCUGCUGCGGGCGGGCAGGCGCUGAGUGUAGGAGAAGAGGGGAUCGGGGAACAGAACCGUCAGGACCAGGGACCAGAUGGAGACCACCUCUCUGGGCCCUAGCCUCCUCUGGCUCCUCAUUCUACUGUUCCCAGCCCUGCUUGUCACUGCCCUGUGUUUGUGUUGCCGGGACCUCCCUGGCCCCAACUCUGAGGUCCCCCCCAAGUGACGGCUCAUAUCAGCCAGGCAGCGGAUUAGUCAUCCUCAAACGCCCCUACACUAAUACUUCGUGGCCAUCUACAGUAUCCUGCCAGCCAGAUCUGCUCCCUAUCCCGAGAUCUCCACAACAUCCAGGGUUGUCAAACCGGAUUACUUCUCGGAGAGACGCAGACACCCAACCUGAGGAUGCCGAUGAAGAAGAUGACUACCAUAAUGAAGGCUAUCUUGAGGUUCUACCGGAUGACUGCCCGAAUUCCAACUCUGCACCUCUGUCCAACUCAACACCUAACCUGGGUAGUCCCGGCCUUAGGGAUAGUCCAUCUUCCAGUGAGUUGGGAGUGAUUGGGGGGGGGCCCCCCUGUGGCUUGCCAGGUUGGGGGGGAUUGGU
rnacentral:lncRNA from 1 species